rnacentral:ncRNA from 1 species
GAAUGGCUUUAGGGGUGUCCAAAAAACGGACUGAGAUUCAUACCCUUUGAACCUGACACAGUUGAUGCUGUCGUAGGAAAAAGCGUUGUACCGGUA